rnacentral:misc_RNA from 1 species
GAUGAAGAACGCAGCGAAAUGCGAUAAGUAGUGUGAAUUGCAGAAUUCAGUGAAUCAUCGAAUCUUUGAACGCACAUUGCGCCCCUUGGUAUUCCAUGGGGCAUGCCUGUUCGAGCGUCAUUUGUACCUUCAAGCUCUGCUUGGUGUUGGGUGUUUGUCUCGCCUCUGCGUGUAGACUCGCCUCAAAACAAUUGGCAGCCGGCGUAUUGAUUUCGGAGCGCAGUACAUCUCGCGCUUUGCUCUCAUAACGACGACGUCCAAAAGUACAUUUUUACACUCUUGACCUCGGAUCAGGUAGGGAUACCCGCUGAACUUAAGCAUAUCAAUAAGCGGAGGA